AGCUAAUAAACUUUAAUAAGUAUAUGUUUUGAAAACAUAAUAUAGAAGAUAAACCUUCUAUUAGCUU
rnacentral:tRNA from 1 species